GUUGGUGUUGGUGUCCUGCUCCUUGUUGCUUCUGGUUUAAUUUACUAUCGCAAGCACCAAGCAGGAAGGAAUGGCAGCAGGAGGGAGGACAGUCUUCAGGAGAAUGAUGCAGAGUACUCGCCCCUUAAUCACAGUAACUCUCAAUCGCCGAAUGUGAUGUCCCUUAAUCCGUCUGUGUCUGAGGCUGCCAAUGAAACACCACAGUAACAUUAUUAUACUGACUUGAGUAAUCCAAAAUUCGGAUCUAUUACGCCAUUUUUGCUUUGUAGUGUGGAUGGAGAAAACAGAGGUAUUUGAAAACGAUGACACUUGUUUAGUCAUGUGACGCAUAUUGUACCCAUAGAUAUCUAUAGUUAUACCGGCAUUGUUGUGCCUGUUAUUUACAUGAACAGUAUUGCAAAAAUUGAAUUUACUCGCAUAUGCUGUCCUGCAUGGCAAAAUAUGAUGAUAGUUGUGUUUUAAACGUUUGGAAAAAGCUUGAAAAACACUAGUGUGGAUGAGGAGCGGUUUUAAAUGAAAACUCAGUUUUCAAAUGUCUCUGGAUUACUGUAGACAUAGCCUAAACUGCUAUUCUGUGUGAUAUUUCUAAGCCAUUGAGACUCAUUUAAGCUUCCAUUCUAUCUUACAUUUACUAUCAAAAAUUCUAACUUUUAAUGCUACUAAACUAAAACUUGAAACUAUUUCAAACUUACAACCUCUAAACUUAAAACUUAGAGGUUAAAGGCUUUCUCAAGCCAACAUCAAAGUUUGUCGUUCUUGUUUAUCUAGAUUUUUUCAGUGAAAAAGAACAUAAAGAGAAGAUAAGGGAAUGAGAGAAGACAAUCAGCAGAAACUCAAAACACCCAGAGAGAAAUAGUGCCACAAUACCAAGAUUGUUGCUUCAGAAAAACAAUCAAUUAACAAUAAAUAAGAAACAAAGAAACACGUUAGCAGCAAUAAAACAAAGAUUGCUGAUGUUUUUCAUUAUAUAGAGGGUUUACUGAAGCAGCUAAAGUGAUCCAGAUAGGUAUAGUGAGACAUUUCAUUAAUAACUGAACAUGAAUCAUGAUGGAUAUUUUGAUCAAGUAAUGUCAUACUCAAGACAAGCUCUUCACAGACCAGCUGUCAGUCAAACUCUCAGGUACUGAAUUGAGUCUCUACUGAUAAUCUUUACAGUUUUACUAUUGUCAAUUGACAACACUACAGAUGAAAACACCAGUAUGAUGCUGCCUCUAACAAUUACAUUAUUAUAUACAUAUAUUUGUCUAUGGGUUUUUUUUUUUUGGUUUGUUUGUAAUGUCAUAGCUUUGUUUUGUCUAAAGUUUAAAGGUUAAAAUCCUCAAGGGUUGAUCCAUGAAAUAUCACCACUGUGUCCUUGAUCAAACUCUGAAUCUCAGGAACUGAACCUGUAAUAAGUGCUCUGAAAGACACUGUGGAGGAAAGUGGCAACAAAAAAUGCCAAAUAUGUGUUUUAUUGUAUUUCAUUUGCAAUAUAUUGUGUUGUUGUUGUUUUUUUUUCAAUGUUCCAUACCUUUUACUGGCUGCUGCACAAGCCUUUUUACAGGUAUUAAGCAUCUGAAUGCUGUUUUAAGCACUUCACAUAAAUACACUUGUCUGAACAAAAAGACUUGAAAUUGUGCAAAUCUCUGUUUGUUAGGUUCAUCCUGUUUGAUUUACUCAUUCAAAGAGCUCAUUGUCUGCUCACUGAACUCUGAGAUCUGGGGUUCCCAAAUCAACAGCAGGAUUUAGGUGUCAUCGUGGUGCACUUUAUUGUAAAUGUUCUCAGAAAAGCCAUUUCAGUUUCUCAGUUAAAGUACUACACUGUAAAAAAUAAAUGUGAUUUUAACAGUAAAAUAUUGUAAAAACGGUACGAAAAAAAAUUGUAAAUGGGUUAACAGUAAGUUCCAGUACUAUGUACAGGGAAAAACUGUAAAAGCUCUUACCAGACAUUUUAUGUAAUUUUCACAGUAAAAUGCUGUAAAUUUUACAAUUUGUAGAAGUAAAAAAGAACAAAUCAAUGUAUAAUUUACAGUCAAAAACUGUAAACUGAUAUUCCCACAAUUCCCUGUGACACUCCACAUUUGAAAGUAUUUUGUUUAAAAAAUCAUGUUUCUUAAUAGUUUUUGUUAUCAGUUAUGUACAUUAGGGUUUUAUGUUACAUCUUCUGUUGUUUAAUGAAUGUUUAUUGCAUUAUGUAAGUGUUGUGGGUUACCAUGAUGGUGUUUUGCAUUUGCGUGAAUGACUCUUUGCACCCUCUUUACAUUAGUAUAUACUUCAGCUCGUGGAAAAGCUAUUUGUGAUGAACUCUGAUUCUUCAUGUGGCUUUCUCUUUUACCGCCUGCAUUAUUAGGUGGUUGUCAGUAUAUGUUAAAGGUACAAAACAGAUUUUAGUAGUAGUGUGCAUUGUUGAAUUUACUUGUUUACAUUCAAAUUUUCUUGUUUGUAAAUUAGUUUUAUACUGUAAAAUUGACAGUUUGUUCUGUAAGUGUUUGUAAUGACGGGUCGACAGAAGGAGGAUCCAUUUGCAGCUUUAUUAAGAUAAUUACCAAAGCAGACAGGGGCAAAGGCAGAGGCAUAAACAGGGACAGGCAAUGGUCGAGGCAGGCGGCAGACGAACAGAGUAAAGUCACAGGCAAUGGUCAGGGCAG